UAAAAAAUUGAAGGUUUGUGCAUCUGAAAAUGAAGAGUUGCGUGAAAGAGUUAAGAAUAUGAAAAACUUGUUAGCAAAUGUGAUGACUUUAAUUCAAAAUCGAUUUUCUGGAGCAGAUGUUAAUGAUAUAAUACAAGCUGCAAGACAGGUUCCUGAUGCUACUAGUGCUCAAAACCAUUUGAAUUCACUUAGUCCAAACAACAACGAAAAUAAUGAAAAUGGUGAAGAUUAAAAGCUAAUUUGUUGUUGAAGAUGGAAUAUUGGCAAUUUAGUGGACUCAAUUUCUUAAUGUUUUUUGAGAUUGUUAUGUAUGACACAAGAUGUCUAUUUUAAAUGUUAGUAAGACGUUUUCCACU